UGCUCGCUCACUCUCCCUGCGUUGGAGCUGGUCGGGCUUUGGCACCCGCGCUGUACCGCUGGUGAGGACCACAGAGGGGUCCACGCCGUCCUCGCCUGCAGGAUGGCUUCAGGACGAGUCCCAUUGGCCACGAAGGGGGAGAGAUGGGAACAUGGGCUCCUGAGCUGUCGCUGCCACCCUGCAGAUGGAGGGCCAUCAGGAGCAAACCGUCCUGGACCGACGGGCUGAAGAGCUUCGUUGGAGACCUUUCCAUCUCCAUCUUCUGCCGAGUCCCAAAGUCUCUUGGAGCUGCCUUUGCCCGUGCAUCAUCCUGUUGAACUUUCUUCACCACCRUGGCCAUAUACCUCUCCUCCUUCAGCGUGUCUCCUUGCAACAUCACCUGCGUGCCAGGGCUGGAGCUGCGGGCGCAUGGUCCCCCACCCCUGCAGUGAGGCAAGGUGUUGGUCUGUCUCUCCUGCAUCUCCAAACGGCAGCUAGACACCAGGCCUACUCCUGCUUUCAGCGCGUCUCUCCCCAUCAUCUUCAUGGUUCACAUCCGAAAUGAUCCCCAUCACUCAAGGUGAUCCAAGAAGUGAUCGGAGCUGGUUUCGGGAAGCAGACUGGUGCUGUACGACUCACCUCACGCUGUCUCCUCCACACCUCCCCAUCACAGCGAGCACCAGGAACAUGUCAUCUCCCGUGACUGUGCUGCCGUMGCUGCCUCCAUGCGGGCUCUGAAAAUAAGGAAGCUCAUCCUGCUCUAACAGGGUCAUAAAUAACAUAGGUUGGAAGGGGCCUUAGGGGUCACCUGGUCCAACCCCCUGUCCAAAGCUGGUUUGACCUUCAGGUCAGCUCAUGAAAAGAGGAGGACCCUGAGUGACUGAUGGGCUGGCUGCAGGCACAUCACAGCUUGCCACCUCUGGUGAGAUCGUCUGAGAUGUCUUCUCCACUAACAGGUGAAUGUGAGCUACUCCUUUGGGUAUGAGCCUCUAAAAGGUGGGGGGAAAGGUCAUAGCUUCCUGCAAAUGGGGUUAUUUGUUUGAAACUGGGUGCAGAUGCAGCUUUCUCCCUCAUUAGCACUGAGCGAUGCGGCGGCUUUCCUGCCUCGGCGGCUGYGGCCGUGCUGCCUGCUCGGGUGCACCCGUUUAACCAGUGCCCAGGAGAGCAGCAGCCACAAACCACCUGCAAAAUAGAUGUUGUGCUCUGAGCUCUUCCCUGCCCCGACUCCGCUGCCCUUUGCCAGCAACAUAAAAUCAUUAUUUCUCAUUGCAUUUAAAUAGCUUGGAAAUUGGCUUUUCUCUUCUGCUGCUGCGAGG
rnacentral:lncRNA from 1 species